GUUAUAUGGUCAAGUGAAGAAGCGCAUACGGUGGAUGCCUUGGCAGUCAGAGGCGAUGAAAGACGUGGUAGCCUGCGAAAAGCUUCGGGGAGUCGGCAAACAGACUGUGAUCCGGAGAUAUCUGAAUGGGGGAACCCAGCCAUCAUAAGAUGGUUAUCUUGUACUGAAUACAUAGGUGCAAGAGGCGAACCAGGGGAACUGAAACAUCUAAGUACCCUGAGGAAAAGAAAUCAACCGAGAUUCCCUUAGUAGUGGCGAGCGAACGGGGACCAGCCCUUAAGUUGUAUUGAGAUUAGCGGAACGUUCUGGAAAGGACGGCCAUAGUGGGUGAUAGCCCUGUACGCGAAAAUCCCUUUGCAAUGAAAUCGAGUAGGACGGGGCACGAGAAACCUUGUCUGAAUAUGGGGGGACCAUCCUCCAAGGCUAAAUACUACUGACUGACCGAUAGUGAACCAGUACCGUGAGGGAAAGGCGAAAAGAACCGCGGAGAGCGGAGUGAAAUAGAUCCUGAAACCGUAUGCGUACAAGCAGUGGGAGCCCACUUGUUGGGUGACUGCGUACCUUUUGUAUAAUGGGUCAGCGACUUAUUUUCAGUGGCGAGCUUAACCGAAUAGGGGAGGCGUAGCGAAAGCGAGUCUUAAUAGGGCGUCUAGUCGCUGGGAAUAGACCCGAAACCGGGCGAUCUAUCCAUGGGCAGGUUGAAGGUUGGGUAACACUAACUGGAGGACCGAACCGACUACCGUUGAAAAGUUAGCGGAUGACCUGUGGAUCGGAGUGAAAGGCUAAUCAAGCUCGGAGAUAGCUGGUUCUCCUCGAAAGCUAUUUAGGUAGCGCCUCAUGUAUCACUGUAGGGGGUAGAGCACUGUUUCGGCUAGGGGGUCAUCCCGACUUACCAAACCGAUGCAAACUCCGAAUACCUACAAGUGCCGAGCAUGGGAGACACACGGCGGGUGCUAACGUCCGUCGUGAAAAGGGAAACAACCCAGACCGUCAGCUAAGGUCCCAAAGUCAUGGUUAAGUGGGAAACGAUGUGGGAAGGCUUAGACAGCUAGGAGGUUGGCUUAGAAGCAGCCACCCUUUAAAGAAAGCGUAAUAGCUCACUAGUCGAGUCGGCCUGCGCGGAAGAUGUAACGGGGCUCAAACCAUGCACCGAAGCUACGGGUAUCAUCUUAGGAUGAUGCGGUAGAGGAGCGUUCUGUAAGCCUGUGAAGGUGAGUUGAGAAGCUUGCUGGAGGUAUCAGAAGUGCGAAUGCUGACAUGAGUAACGACAAUGGGUGUGAAAAACACCCACGCCGAAAGACCAAGGUUUCCUGCGCAACGUUAAUCGACGCAGGGUUAGUCGGUCCCUAAGGCGAGGCUGAAAAGCGUAGUCGAUGGAAAACAGGUUAAUAUUCCUGUACUUCUGGUUAUUGCGAUGGAGGGACGGAGAAGGCUAGGCCAGCCUGGCGUUGGUUGUCCAGGUUUAAGGUGGUAGGCUGAGAUCUUAGGUAAAUCCGGGAUCUUAAGGCCGAGAGCUGAUGACGAGUGUUCUUUUAGAACACGAAGUGGUUGAUGCCAUGCUUCCAAGAAAAGCUUCUAAGCUUCAGGUAACCAGGAACCGUACCCCAAACCGACACAGGUGGUUGGGUAGAGAAUACCAAGGCGCUUGAGAGAACUCGGGUGAAGGAACUAGGCAAAAUGGCACCGUAACUUCGGGAGAAGGUGCGCCGGUGGAGGUGAAGCAUUUACUGCGUAAGCCCCUGCCGGUCGAAGAUACCAGGCCGCUGCGACUGUUUAUUAAAAACACAGCACUCUGCAAACACGAAAGUGGACGUAUAGGGUGUGACGCCUGCCCGGUGCCGGAAGGUUAAUUGAUGGGGUUAGCGCAAGCGAAGCUCUUGAUCGAAGCCCCGGUAAACGGCGGCCGUAACUAUAACGGUCCUAAGGUAGCGAAAUUCCUUGUCGGGUAAGUUCCGACCUGCACGAAUGGCGUAACGAUGGCGGCGCUGUCUCCACCCGAGACUCAGUGAAAUUGAAAUCGCUGUGAAGAUGCAGUGUAUCCGCGGCUAGACGGAAAGACCCCGUGAACCUUUACUAUAGCUUUGCACUGGACUUUGAAUUUGCUUGUGUAGGAUAGGUGGGAGGCUUUGAAGCGUGGACGCCAGUCUGCGUGGAGCCAACCUUGAAAUACCACCCUGGCAACUUUGAGGUUCUAACUCAGGUCCGUUAUCCGGAUCGAGGACAGUGUAUGGUGGGUAGUUUGACUGGGGCGGUCUCCUCCUAAAGAGUAACGGAGGAGUACGAAGGUGCGCUCAGACCGGUCGGAAAUCGGUCGUAGAGUAUAAAGGCAAAAGCGCGCUUGACUGCGAGACAGACACGUCGAGCAGGUACGAAAGUAGGUCUUAGUGAUCCGGUGGUUCUGUAUGGAAGGGCCAUCGCUCAACGGAUAAAAGGUACUCCGGGGAUAACAGGCUGAUACCGCCCAAGAGUUCAUAUCGACGGCGGUGUUUGGCACCUCGAUGUCGGCUCAUCACAUCCUGGGGCUGAAGCCGGUCCCAAGGGUAUGGCUGUUCGCCAUUUAAAGUGGUACGCGAGCUGGGUUUAGAACGUCGUGAGACAGUUCGGUCCCUAUCUGCCGUGGACGUUUGAGAUUUGAGAGGGGCUGCUCCUAGUACGAGAGGACCGGAGUGGACGAACCUCUGGUGUUCCGGUUGUCACGCCAGUGGCAUUGCCGGGUAGCUAUGUUCGGAAAAGAUAACCGCUGAAAGCAUCUAAGCGGGAAACUUGCCUCAAGAUGAGAUCUCACUGGAACCUUGAGUUCCCUAAAGGGCCGUCGAAGACUACGACGUUGAUAGGUUGGGUGUGUAAGCGCUGUGAGGCGUUGAGCUAACCAAUACUAAUUGCCCGUGAGGCUUGACCAUAUAACACCCAAGCAAUU
rnacentral:rRNA from 1 species